CUUUUCAGUGGGAAACAACACUAAAUACCUAUAUAUGGGGAGGUAAUAGCUCCAAGUCGUUUUUACACUGAAAACCGCAUGAAUUUGAAACCAACACUAGGAAACAUACUGAGAAACCAGAG